UUUUAUAACAUAUACUGUGAGAGUACCGGAAUGCGCAAGAUGGUUUGCAUCAUGGUUAUGAAGGAAAAGCUGACAGUAUUUUUGAGACAGCAAGAAAAACAUCAUUGCACACCAUCAACUAAUGACUCCAAAGGAAUAACAAAGAUUAGAGUUCAAAGAAUGGAUUCAAUGCUGGUACUUGGAUAAAGAUAAUCAGGCAUGGACUCUCAUCUCCCAUGGAUCUUCAGCACCUUUAGGUUACAGUUUUAUAUUUCACUAGAAGAGACUCAUAAAUAAACA